rnacentral:rRNA from 1 species
AGUGAACGCUGGCGGUAGGCCUAACACAUGCGAGUCGAACGGCAGCACAGUAAGAGCUUGCUCUUACGGGUGGCGAGUGGCGGACGGGUGAGGAAUACAUCGGAAUCUACUUUUUCGUGGGGGAUAACGUAGGGAAACUUACGCUAAUACCGCAUACGACCUACGGGUUAAAGCAGGGGAUCUUCGGACCUUGCGCGAUUGAAUGAGCCGAUGUCGGAUUAGCUAGUUGGCGGGGUAAAGGCCCACCAAGGCGACGAUCCGUAGCUGGUCUGAGAGGAUGAUCAGCCACACUGGAACUGAGACACGGUCCAGACUCCUACGGGAGGCAGCAGUGGGGAAUAUUGGACAAUGGGCGCAAGCCUGAUCCAGCCAUACCGCGUGGGUGAAGAAGGCCUUCGGGUUGUAAAGCCCUUUUGUUGGGAAAGAAAAGCAGCAGGUUAAUACCCCGCUGUUCUGACGGUACCCAAAGAAUAAGCACCGGCUAACUUCGUG